AAGCAGGAUAGUGGGAGGGUGGAGGCAUCUGGGUGGAAAGUGUUAUGUCUUUGAACUGGGUACAAUGGUUAAAGCCCUUCCUGGUCAUGCCUUCCCUCAUUGCUGUUAGGAUACUUCUAGAGUUCUUAAACCAAGUUCAGCUUUCUGCUCUGAACACCAAGGAUGCUAAUCUCUAGUGCUCAGGAAGACACCAAAGUUCUACUCUUGAGAAGAUUAGGACCCAGUAGGGGGAGGUGGACCAUGAACAUGAAACCGAGUAUCAAUGACUUUGCCAACUAUUUCCAGAAAAAUCGAGGAACUCAUGUAAGGAUGGCGGUAAUCCUGAAAAUCUUUUGAUAUUUAUUAUCUGCACAAAUAACUAUGAGUUCAUAACUAUGAGUACGGCCAUUCUUUGAAUCUUUUUAAGACUUCUGAGGAGAAAGAAAGAUACCUUCUAUGCCAGCCCACCUAAAGGUUAUCAGCUUCCCUGGGAACUAUACCUCAACAAGGAUGAGGGACAUGCCUCAAAGAUAGAAGCCAUCCCAAGGAAAGCUUCCCGACGAUCUUUCUGUUCUGCUCAACAGCACGCACUCUCUAAGGACUCAUGCAAUCUCGGCACAGGAUGGAUCAUUUGUUCUGCUGCAUAUUUUUCAACAUUGCCAUCCAGCCAGGGGCCUAAAGCAUAGAUGAGAGCAUCAUGACUAUGGGCCAAAGUAAACCUUUCUUCUCUUUAUGAAUGGAUCCUCCCAGAUACAUGUGGAAUUGGAGAGACCCGAUGGUGCUGUGGAGAUGAGCAAGAAGGGGUUACAGCCAUAACUACACACUUAUUUGGAGAUCUGCAAGGGCUCCAAGCCCGACAGAGGGGACACUCUCUGUCCUCACUAAGAGGGGACAACCACAGCCCAUCACAGGUUCCUGCUUAAUGCCCUAAGUGCUAACACAGGUUCUUUGUGACUCAACAAAUUCAAAGCAAGAUCAUAAUUGUUAUACAACCAUGCUGACUUUUGUUAAACUGACCAUCCUUAAACUAUGGGAAGAAGACUCCUAAAAGACUUUUUUCAGGACCUCAGCCAUCAAGGAAGGGGCCAGACUUCAGCUUCCCAAGUCACCCUCUGCUUUGCAGAGGGUCUCUCUGUGUGUCUGCUGUGUGUGUCUGUUUCCUCGCCCUAAUAAAGGCCUCUUUUUCCAAAA